GAUGAACGCUGGCGGCGUGCCUAAUACAUGCAAGUCGAGCGAACGGACGAGAAGCUUGCUUCUCUGAUGUUGGCGGCGGACGGGUGAGUAACACGUGGAUAACCUACCUAUAAGACUGGGAUAACUUCGGGAAACCGGAGCUAAUACCGGAUAAUAUUUUGAACCGCAUGGUUCAAAAGUGAAAGACGGUCUUGCUGUCACUUAUAGAUGGAUCCGCGCUGCAUUAGCUAGUUGGUAAGGUAACGGCUUACCAAGGCAACGAUGCAUAGCCGACCUGAGAGGGUGAUCGGCCACACUGGAACUGAGACACGGUCCAGACUCCUACGGGAGGCAGCAGUAGGGAAUCUUCCGCAAAGGGCGAAAGCCUGACGGAGCAACGCCGCGUGAGUGAUGAAGGUCUUCGGAUCGUAAAACUCUGUUAUUAGGGAAGAACAUAUGUGUAAGUAACUGUGCACAUCUUGACGGUACCUAAUCAGAAAGCCACGGCUAACUACGUG
rnacentral:rRNA from 1 species